AAAAAUUAGAACAUUCAAUGGGGCUUAUAUUUCAACAACUUAAAAAUUUAGAAAAUUCCAUUGGUAAGCAAAGUACACUUAUGUUUCUUUUUGUUUAAUUUUAACACACGUUUUUUGAUGUUUGUGUGCGGUUUUAUCACUCUAAAAUAAAC